rnacentral:snRNA from 1 species
GUGUUCACUUCUGUAGCACGUAUACUAAAAUUGGAAUAAUACAGAGAAGAUUAGCAAAUUUGUGAAGCAUUCCAUAUUUAAAAAGUAAAAUAAAAUAUUUCUUU